rnacentral:tRNA from 1 species
CAAGAAAUAGUUUAAGUAAAAUUCUAGUUUUGGGAAUUAGAGAUAAGACUUUAAGUUUUUUUUUUGA